UAAAAAAAGGUAAGCUACUAAGAGCGAAUGGUGGAUGCCUUGACUGGUAAAGGCGAUGAAGGACGUACUAGACUGCGAUAAGCUACGGGGAGCUGUCAAGAAGCUUUGAUCCGUAGAUUUCCGAAUGGGGCAACCCAAUGUAUAGAGAUAUACAUUACCUAUAUAGGAGCGAACGAGGGGAAUUGAAACAUCUUAGUACCCUCAGGAAAAGAAAUCAAUAGAGAUUGCGUCAGUAGCGGCGAGCGAAAGCGCAAGAGGGCAAACCCAGUGCUUGCACUGGGGGUUGUAGGACUGCAAUGUGCAAGAGCUGAGUUUAGCAGAACAUUCUGGAAAGUAUAGCCAUAGAGGGUGAUAGUCCCGUAUGCGAAAAACAAAGCUUAGCUAGCAGUAUCCUGAGUAGGGCGGGACACGAGGAAUCCUGUCUGAAUCCGGGUCGACCACGAUCCAACCCUAAAUACUAAUACCAGAUCGAUAGUGCACAAGUACCGUGAGGGAAAGGUGAAAAGAACUGAGGUGAUCAGAGUGAAAUAGAACCUGAAACCAUUUGCUUACAAUCAUUCAGAGCACUAUGUAGCAAUACAGUGUGAUGGACUGCCUUUUGCAUAAUGAGCCUGCGAGUUGUGGUGUCUGGCAAGGUUAAGCAAACGCGAAGCCGUAGCGAAAGCGAGUCUGAAUAGGGCGCUUAGUCAGAUGCUGCAGACCCGAAACGAAGUGAUCUAUCCAUGAGCAAGUUGAAGCUAGUGUAAGAACUAGUGGAGGACUGAACCCAUAGGCGUUGAAAAGCCCCGGGAUGACUUGUGGAUAGGGGUGAAAGGCCAAUCAAACUUCGUGAUAGCUGGUUCUCUCCGAAAUAUAUUUAGGUAUAGCGUUGUGUCGUAAUAUAAGGGGGUAGAGCACUGAAUGGGCUAGGGCAUACACCAAUGUACCAAACCCUAUCAAACUCCGAAUACCUUAUAUGUAAUCACAGCAGUCAGGCGGCGAGUGAUAAAAUCCGUCGUCAAGAGGGAAACAACCCAGACUACCAGCUAAGGUCCCUAAAUCUUACUUAAGUGGAAAACGAUGUGAAGUUACUUAAACAACCAGGAGGUUGGCUUAGAAGCAGCCAUCCUUUAAAGAAAGCGUAAUAGCUCACUGGUCUAGUGAUUUUGCGCGGAAAAUAUAACGGGGCUAAAGUAAGUACCGAAGCUGUAGACUUGCACACAACUUAGAUUAUUUAAGUUUAGAAUAUGAGAAACUAAGUUAUAUGUUUAGUUAUAUUUUUACUGAUUUUUAUAGAGUAAAGAUAGAAAUAAAACUUAGUAAAAUCAGUAAAAAUAUUCUUAGGCUAAAGUUAAGUAGUUUAAGUUGUGUGCAAGUGGUAGGAGAGCGUUCUAUUUGCGUCGAAGGUAUACCGGUAAGGAGUGCUGGAGCGAAUAGAAGUGAGCAUGCAGGCAUGAGUAGCGAUAAUUAAUGUGAGAAUCAUUAACGCCGUAAACCCAAGGUUUCCUACGCGAUGCUCGUCAUCGUAGGGUUAGUCGGGUCCUAAGUCGAGUCCGAAAGGGGUAGACGAUGGCAAAUUGGUUAAUAUUCCAAUACCAACAUUAGUGUGCGAUGGAAGGACGCUUAGGGCUAAGGGGGCUAGCGGAUGGAAGUGCUAGUCUAAGGUUGUAGGAGGUUAUACAGGCAAAUCCGUAUAACAAUACUCCGAGAACUGAAAGGCUUUUUGAAGUCUUCGGAUGGAUAGAAGAACCCCUGAUGCCGUCGAGCCAAGAAAAGUUUCUAAGUUUAGCUAAUGUUGCCCGUACCGUAAACCGACACAGGUGGGUGGGAUGAGUAUUCUAAGGCGCGUGGAAGAACUCUCUUUAAGGAACUCUGCAAAAUAGCACCGUAUCUUCGGUAUAAGGUGUGGUUAGCUUCGUACUAGGAUUUACUCCGAAAGCGAAGAAACUUACAACAAAGAGUCCCUCCCGACUGUUUACCAAAAACACAGCACUCUGCUAACUCGUAAGAGGAUGUAUAGGGUGUGACGCCUGCCCGGUGCUCGAAGGUUAAUUGAUGGGGUUAGCAUUAGCGAAGCUCUUGAUCGAAGCCCGAGUAAACGGCGGCCGUAACUAUAACGGUCCUAAGGUAGCGAAAUUCCUUGUCGGUUAAAUACCGACCUGCAUGAAUGGCGUAACGAGAUGGGAGCUGUCUCAAAGAGGGAUCCAGUGAAAUUGUAGUGGAGGUGAAAAUUCCUCCUACCCGCGGCAAGACGGAAAGACCCCGUGGACCUUUACUACAGCUUGACACUGCUACUUGGAUAAGAAUGUGCAGGAUAGGUGGGAGGCUUUGAGUAUAUGACGCCAGUUGUAUAUGAGCCAUUGUUGAGAUACCACUCUUUCUUAUUUGGGUAGCUAACCAGCUUGAGUUAUCCUCAAGUGGGACAAUGUCUGGUGGGUAGUUUGACUGGGGCGGUCGCCUCCCAAAUAAUAACGG
rnacentral:rRNA from 1 species